UACGUAGGGACCAAGCGUUGUUCGGAUUUACUGGGCGUAAAGGGCGCGUAGGCGGCGUGUUAAGUCAGCUGUGAAAUCUCCAAGCUUAACUUGGAACGGUCAGCUGAUACUGAUGUGCUAGAGUGCAGAAGGGGCAAUCGGAAUUCUUGGUGUAGCGGUGAAAUGCGUAGAUAUCAAGAGGAACACCUGAGGUGAAGACGGGUUGCUGGGCUGACACUGACGCUGAGGCGCGAAAGCUAGGGUAGCAAACGGG
rnacentral:ncRNA from 2 species